GGAGACCGGAACUACUCGUGGAGCCUCUCGUAUGUAUUCUUCCAUGGUUGCAAGAAAAGAUUGUGGAGGCUCCCUCAGAUUUGGGAAUUGGAAAUUUCUAGCAAGUUCUAGUCCCCGGCAAGUUUCAUAAAAAUCUGAAAGACUCCCAGCCUGUUGGCCAGCCCUUUUGUAGAUUUCAAGGGCCUUAAUUGCUUCAUGCCUUGGCAUCUCAAAGAACUUGUCAACAAGGUUGAUGAUGCCGUCAUUAAUAGCACAAUAGAUUUUAAAGCUUUCUUUUAAUACCAGUGCCAAUGCAUAUUGUACGACAUAAUUACUACUCGCAGCUCCUUCUGGGCGGCAUCCAAUAAGGCGGUAUAACAACUGCUGUAAAGCAGGUAACUGUUCCAACAAGGCUUCAGCAUCCAAUUCUCUGGUUCUACUAUGGCCCUUUUCAGACCCUUGAACAGGUUUCCCCAAACGCUCAGCUUCGACAUCAUACUUCAAAA
rnacentral:misc_RNA from 1 species